UACAGAGGUCCCAAGCGUUGUUCGGAUUCAUUGGGCGUAAAGCGCACGUAGGCGGAUUGUUAAGUCGAGGGGUGAAAUCCUGGAGCUCAACUCCAGAACUGCCUUUGAUACUGGCGAUCUCGAGUCCGGGAGAGGUGAGUGGAACUGCGAGUGUAGAGGUGAAAUUCGUAGAUAUUCGCAAGAACACCAGUGGCGAAGGCGGCUCACUGGCCCGGUACUGACGCUGAGGUGCGAAAGCGUGGGGAGCAACAGG
rnacentral:rRNA from 1 species